CACGGGGAGGUAGUGACGAAAAAUAACGAUACGGGACUCAUCCGAGGCCCCGUAAUCGGAAUGAGUAUACUCUAAAUCCUUAUACGAGUAUCAAUUGGAGGGCAAGUCUGGUGCCAGCAGCCGCGGUAAUUCCAGCUCCAAUAGCGUAUAUUAAAGUUGUUGCGGUUAAAAAGCUCGUAGUUGGAUCUGUGUCCCGCACCGUCGGUUCGCCGCCUGUCGGUGUUUUACUGGCGUGUAUGCGGGACGUCCUGCCGGUGGCGGUCCGGUUCUCCGUCGGUUGUAAGGGUCGUCCUCGCUCCGGCUUGCGUCGUCCCCGAAGGCCUUCGGUGUUUCCGGCCGCCUUUUCGAUCCCGUCGCGGUGCUCUUUACCGAGUGUCGAGGCGGGCCGGCACGUUUACUUUGAACAAAUUAGAGUGCUUUAAGCAGGCCCUGUCCCGCCUGUAUGUUGUGUGCAUGGAAUAAUGGAAUAGGACCUCGGUUCUAUUUUGUUGGUUUUCGGAAUCUGAGGUAAUGAUCAAUGGGGACAGGCGGGGGCAUUCGUAUUGCGACGUUAGAGGUGAAAUUCUUGGAUCGUCGCAAGACGGACCGAAGCGAAAGCAUUUGCCAAGUAUGUUCUCGUCGAUCAAGAACGAAAGUUAGAGGUUCGAAGGCGAUCAGAUACCGCCCUAGUUCUAACCAUAAACUAUGCCUGCCAGCGAUCCGCCGAAGUUCCUCCGAUGACUCGGCGGGCAGCUUCCGGGAAACCAGAGCUUUUGGGUUCCGGGGGAAGUAUGGUUGCAAAGCUGAAACUUAAAGGAAUUGACGGAAGGGCACCACCAGGAGUGGAGCCUGCGGCUUAAUUUGACUCAACACGGGAAAACUCACCAGGCCCGGACACCGGAAGGAUUGACAGAUUGAGAGCUCUUUCUUGAUUCGGUGGGUGGUGGUGCAUGGCCGUUCUUAGUUGGUGGAGCGAUUUGUCUGGUUAAUUCCGAUAACGAACGAGACUCUAGCCUACUAACUAGGCGUACCCGGUAUCCACAAUCGUGCUACCGGCGAUCAAAUUUCUUCUUAGAGGGACAGGCGGCUUCUAGCCGCACGAGACUGAGCAAUAACAGGUCUGUGAUGCCCUUAGAUGUCCUGGGCCGCACGCGCGCUACACUGAAGGAAUCAGCGUGUCUUCCCUGUCCGAAAGGACCGGGUAACCCGCUGAACCUCCUUUGUGCUAGGGAUUGGGGCUUGCAAUUGUUCCCCAUGAACGAGGAAUUCCCAGUAAGCGCGAGUCAUAAGCUCGCGUUGAUUACGUCCCUGCCCUUUGUACACACCGCCCGUCGCUACUACCGAUUGAAUGAUUUAGUGAGGUCUUCGGACUGGUGCGCGGAGGCCGCUUAUGCGGUCUCCGAUGUUGCCG
rnacentral:rRNA from 1 species